rnacentral:rRNA from 1 species
UACGUAGGGGGCAAGCGUUGUCCGGAAUUAUUGGGCGUAAAGCGCGCGCAGGCGGCUCUUUAAGUCUGGUGUUUAAUCCCGAGGCUCAACUUCGGGUCGCACUGGAAACUGGGGAGCUUGAGUGCAGAAGAGGAGAGUGGAAUUCCACGUGUAGCGGUGAAAUGCGUAGAGAUGUGGAGGAACACCAGUGGCGAAGGCGACUCUCUGGGCUGUAACUGACGCUGAGGCGCGAAAAGCGUGGGGAGCGAAACAGG